rnacentral:rRNA from 1 species
CAACGACGGGUACGGGGUGUGAGAGCACUUGCCCGGAGAUGGUUUCUGAGACACGAAACCAGGCCCUACGGGGCGCAGCAGGCGCGAAAACUUCGCAAUGCGGGGAACCGUGACGAGGGAACUCCAAGUGUCUAUGCAACGCAUAGACUGUUUUUCAGCCUAAAUAGCUGUUAGAGUAAGGGGUGGGUAAGACCGGUGCCAGCCGCCGCGGUAACACCGGCACCCCGAGUGGUAGCCACUAUUAUUGGGCCUAAAGCGUUCGUAGCCGGUUUAGUAAAUUCUUGGGUAAAUCGUACAGCUUAACUGUGCGGAUUCCGGGGACACUACUAGACUUGAAACCGGGAGAGAUUAGAGGUACUUGCAGGGGAGCGGUGAAAUGUUGUAAUCCUGCAGGGACCACCAGUGGCGAAGGCGUCUAAUCAUAACGG